AGACCCACAAACAGGAUCUGUUUUACAUUCACUAUAAUUGCUGUAAUCAAGUCGGACACAUCGUCAACUUUCCUUUAAUUUCCAGGCUGUACCCCAAAUGCUGUGUUUCUAAGCUGGAUUAGCUUUAGCUCAUUGGUCCCUCCAGUUUUGACUUUGUUAGCUUGCUCACUGUCAAUAAUUACAAAGUUAAACAAUCCUCCUAACAUGAACUCAUUUUCUAAGCUAACUGUGAUCAGCUAGCUAGCUUCUUCUAAUAGCUAGAGCAGAUAUUCUCAUUUCUGAGCAGUAGGCCUAAGCUAUGAUUAGCUAGCUAGCUCUGAUAAUACUUUGUUAGCAUGCUAAAUGGUAAUUUAGUGAGAAAAAAAAGCUGCAACAAACAAUUAUGUUGUUUAUACAGACUUACAGGCUAACUAGCACAAUUACCGUGGUGAUUAGCGAUAUCCUUUUGAAUCCAAGUUAUUUGUUUACACAUCUCACACAUUUGAUUUUGCCACAGCAGACGGGCGGAGGCUGGUCGCUCCAGCUGCUGUUUUCCAGGUCAAACUCACGCCAGAUUGUGACUAUUUACAAAUAUCGGCUAAACACAGAUUACAACAACAAACACAACCAGUACCUGAUGAAGACAGCUGGACUAUGGAGCCGAAGUCCAGCCUGAGCGGAGGAAGAGGAGGUGGAGGAUGAAGCACAGCCUGAGGUCUGUACAGACUGUGUAUUAGUGUUGAAUCUUCUCGCUGUAUCAGACUGCUUCCUCAGACCUUGACAUAGCAGCAGCUGAUGUGCUGCUGCCACUCUGAAAUUCCACCUAAGUCUGCAGGCCGGAGCGGACCGAGACAGAGCCAGAUAAAUACUUUGAUAACAGCCGCUAGGAGGAAAUACAGUCCUGCCUGUUGCACUGAAAGCAGCCACUCUUAGAGCCACGCCGUGCCUCUGACCCUGUGCCUCUUGACUCGGCCUCUCAGCUCAGACCUGAUGCUCUGCCGUCUGCGGUUAAACGUGCGAGGUCUCCGUCCUUCAUCCAGACCUUCACCUUGUUGUCGUGUGCACACACUGACAACUGUGACAGCGACACAAACAUCCUGGCAGGUUAAUCAUUCUCUGCUGCUUCAGUGUGUCGUCCAGAGAAAGCUCGGCCCAAAAGUUCAGGAUGCUCUGUAAAUAAAAAGUCAAAAUAUUCAGUCA
rnacentral:lncRNA from 1 species